AUGCAGUCGAGCGGACAGAUGGGAGCUUGCUCCCUGAUGUUAGCGGCGGACGGGUGAGUAACACGUGGGUAACCUGCCUGUAAGACUGGGAUAACUCCGGGAAACCGGGGCUAAUACCGGAUGGUUGUUUGAACCGCAUGGUUCAAACAUAAAAGGUGGCUUCGGCUACCACUUACAGAUGGACCCGCGGCGCAUUAGCUAGUUGGUGAGGUAACGGCUCACCAAGGCAACGAUGCGUAGCCGACCUGAGAGGGUGAUCGGCCACACUGGGACUGAGACACGGCCCAGACUCCUACGGGAGGCAGCAGUAGGGAAUCUUCCGCAAUGGACGAAAGUCUGACGGAGCAACGCCGCGUGAGUGAUGAAGGUUUUCGGAUCGUAAAGCUCUGUUGUUAGGGAAGAACAAGUACCGUUCGAAUAGGGCGGUACCUUGACGGUACCUAACCAGAAAGCCACGGCUAACUACGUGCCAGCAGCCGCGGUAAUACGUAGGUGGCAAGCGUUGUCCGGAAUUAUUGGGCGUAAAGGGCUCGCAGGCGGUUUCUUAAGUCUGAUGUGAAAGCCCCCGGCUCAACCGGGGAGGGUCAUUGGAAACUGGGGAACUUGAGUGCAGAAGAG
rnacentral:rRNA from 1 species